rnacentral:rRNA from 1 species
AUUGAACGCUGGCGGCAGGCCUAACACAUGCAAGUCGAACGAGUGGCGGACGGGUGAGUAAUGUCUGGGAAAAUGCCUGAUGGAGGGGGAUAACUACUGGAAACGGUAGCUAAUACCGCAUACCAUCAGAAGUGCCCAGAUGGGAUUAGCUAGGUGGUGGGGUAACGGCUCACCAAGGCGACGAUCCCUACCUGGUCUGAGAGGAUGACCAGCCACACUUGAACUGUGACACGGUCGAGACUCCGACGGGAGGGAGCAGUGGGGAAUAUUGCACAAUGGGCGCAAGCCUGAUGCAGCCAUGCCGCGUGUAUGAAGAAGGCCUUCGGGGUGUAAAGUACUUGCAGCGGGGAGGCGUUACCCGCAGAAGAAGCACCGGCUAACUCCGUGCCAGCAGCCGCGGUAAUUC